GAGUGCUCACACGGCUCAGUGCUUCCCCAGCCCCCCCCGGCACCCCUCCUGCCCCACCUUGCAGGGCCUCAACCUCCUGCCGGCAUUUAAUUACUCCGAGCUCCCAGCCUCGCCGGUGUGUUUAAUAUGAGCUAUGUAAAUUUCUCCCAAGAAUGAUAGGAUUUUGACAGCCUGAUUUGCCUCGCAGGCAUACUCAAGCCAGCUCAUUUUCUCUUCCCUGGAAAUUUUUGAGUGGUCGGGUGGCAUUUGAUUACCAUUGGCUGGCAUAUCUGAGCUCUGGGGUUGAGCAUAAAGAUAUUUUAAAUUUAAUAGGUUUAAGAUGUCAUUAUUUCCAUGCUGAUGAAUUUAUACUUGUAGCCAGAGAAACUUAGAGCAUUUAAUGAACUUAUUUAGUUCAUGGUGCAAGCUUUAAACGCAAUCCCAAGUAUAAAAUUAAAUCAUGUUGGAUAAAAACUAACACCCAGAAGCUAAAACUGAGCGGGGUAAAUGAAUGAAUUUAUAAAGAUAGAAUAAAUACAGACAUAAGGCACCUAGGGGACAGAUUUACUAAGACUUUUUGCACUGUUUUCAAUGGAGCUUGUAAUAGCAUAAAAGAAUUAAAUCUGAUUUACUAGGGAGGAUUUGUACAGUAUUUCACCACCUGCUUCCCAGUGCCAGCAGCCCCUUCCCCAUCGCUCUCACCGUCAGCAGGAGCUCUGGGCACAGCCAAACAUGUGGCAGAGAAAUCUCCAGCUUUGCUGAAAAGUGCACAAGCAACCGGAGAAGAAAGCAAUGCAAUCCAAGAGGAUCAACAGAGCCAUUAUAUGAAAAUCAAUUCUAAUUCUAACCCAGUCAAUAAGGAGCUGCAUCAGAUGGGAGAGGGAUGGGUGUGCCGUGGUAGCUUUGAAGUCUCCUUCCCAGGCUCUCUGUGCCAAGGCCUUACUGAAUGUCUUUCAAACCCUACACACUUUCAUAGUCUGCACAAAGAAGGUAGCACCUCAGUAGUAAUAGGAGUCUGCAGUUUUCCCCAUAAAACAUUGCCCGGGCAAUGUGGGGUCAUGAGACUCAGGACAGGUUUGGAAAUGCCAUAAAAAACCUUUCCUAUCUGAAGCAAUCAGAAAGCCCAGGUGAGGAAAUGCAACUCUUGAUUCAUUCCUGGGGAACUCACUGAAGACGUAACUACAAAUGAGCUAUUCUCUACAGUAGUGACUGAUCUUAUCACAUUCAACAUCCUUAUGGAACAGCAUGAUAGAAAAGAUGCAUUUCACUUUAAAAGGAGGAGAUGAAUGAGGAGAAGAAUGAGGAAGCAAGCUAAGAAGAUACUGGAACAAACAUCAAAUUAAAAAAAUAUAUAGUUACAUUAGUGCUACCUACAAGCAGAUAUUGCUCGUUUUGGUGCUUAACAAAAGCAAAUGCUCUGGAAAGUAAGCCAGCGGGACAACACUGGAUGAUGGGCAUUAGAACCAGAGACUUCUUUUAAACAUCUAAAGGAGGCAUUCGUGGGAUCCUGGACUAGUAAAAGUUAGGAAAUUAGGACUAGGAAUCAAGUCCUAUCAGAUUUUGCAGAGGAUGGAAAAUUCAGUAGAAAUUCAAGAGGUAUUUGUGUUACUCACAAAUGAAGAAUGAUGGGCUCUAAGUCAGCACCUGCCCAUAAUCAGGGUGUGCCUUUAUGGCUCCUCCUCUCCAAGCACUGGCUCCGUCCUAAUGAGCUCAGUCCUACCUGAAGGUCUGUUUGCCUAUGGCAGAAAUAUCAAAGGAGAACAGAAGGUACAGAGAAGGCAACAAAUACCUUUAGACAUAGGACGCAGGGACCAGCCCCUUCCAGCCUGAAUGAUUCUAUCAGUGGGCAUGGUGGUGAUGGUUGAACUUGAUGACCUUGGAGGCCUUUUUCAACCUUAACGAUUCUAUGACUCCAUAACCCUAUGAAGGAAACACUAAAUAUGCUUAGGGCUCUUGCUUGGGAAGGAUAUAAUUGAAGAGGGAGACAGGUAAAAUAUGGGCUGUCCUGAGUGAUAUGAAGGUAGAUAGGGAUGAGCAUCACUCCGUACUCUCCCAAAACUCCCGAUCCGGGAAGAAGAGGGUUUGUUGCUUUCUUUCUUUAUCUGGAGUCACAGCACUCAGCCGUACCGCUGAGCGACCGGCCGCCAAUCGAGCGGGUCAACAAUUUUCCAGCAGAACAGUUUUUUGAGCCACUUUCUGUUGGGAAGCGCUGAUUUGAUGGGAUCAAGAUGCUUUGUGGGAACACAUCAAUGCCAUCAAGCCGUCAGUAGAAGCCAGACAUCUGCCCGUCCUCCUCGCCUGCUGCCCAGCUGGCUGGCUCAUGGGGACAGCUGGGCCGCCGCACUGCAGCCAGUAGCAUGCCUGAUUUUACUUUACUUUGUCAUUAGUCUAUUUCUAUUCCAUUUUUUUUUAACUUCAUUUGAACAACUACAUUUUAUGCCCGCUGUACUUGCACCACCAAAAGUGCUCCGUUGCCAAUCAGAAUAUCAGACAUCAAAUCAAAGCACAAGUCGCGCAAUGGGUAUCAUUUAUAUUAUAAUUUAAAUGAGUUUUUAGGUCUACAUUUUAAAGUACAGAGAUGCACCAAUGUGAAGAGUAUGUGCAGUAAGAAGCCAGCACGUUUUUAUUUGUAUAUCAUAUCACGCAUUAACACAGUCACAUUUUGUGCUGUACAGAGCUGGAGUCUGUGAUGACAAAAUAAAAGCUAUAUUUGAAUCUCUUUCUAACUUUACUGGGCUAAAUGACAAUGGUGUGUCAGUUUUUGCAGAAUGCAAUUUCAGAAUUUCACUCCAUGGGGAAUUUCAGUGUUUUGAUGUGUUUUGUUGCUUCAUUUUGCAGAUGUUUCUAUAAAGAGCAGGAAAGUUGGACUGCAUGUUCUCUCUGUUUAAAUGAAAAUACCUGCUCUUAACCCAAACCACGGCCAGUGCACCACACAAAAUGGGGCACUGGAGGGAAUAGGAGCACGCUAUCUAAUUUCCUAAUUUUCCCGUCAGCUUUCUGGCUUUCAAAAUGAUUGCGGCAGAAAUCUAUAAAACGAGGACGAGGGGAGCAAACUUAAUGCCGCCGUAAAUCUCCAAAAUGGAUGCAGAAACACAGUGCUCAAAGAGGAGUAAAUAAAACAUCACUGCUCUUCCCUUUGGGAUGAACUCAACUGGGGCUUCGACUCAGGGAGCAGCAGGGGAGAUGCUCAAAACAAGCUGAAAAUAGAAUGCAUUGACUGCCGCCGCUGCUGUCAAGACAGAGAUGUCACCAGCUCCUUGACACAACCCCCAUCGGUGUUUCGCUAGAAAAGGGAUCACCAACAGAUGCAAUUUCUUCCAGUGCUGGGAUUGUGUUUAUUUUACUGGAAUUGUACUCCAUUUAUCUGGUUGCAAAGGGACAAGGUCAUUUAUAUUGGCAGCAGUGAAUGUACUGAGACUGGCAGUGGUCGCACGCUCACGGCUUGUUACCCAAGGAAAGUCCAGAGCAUACUAAUUUAUCCCACCGUGGAGCAGCAGUAGAAGAAAUGUACAAAUGGUAUCAAUCGGUCUUACAUUACUAACAGUGUAAACACUUUUUUCAGAUGAUAAAAGAUCCAAUAAAUCUACUUUAUUCCGUUUCAUUGUAAGGUCCAGUUCCUCCUUUCCAUCAUACAAACAACUUCCAGGUAGCGGGAGGGAUAUUGCAUUCCUUAUUCACAAAUCACAGUUUGACAGAUUAUUUGUAAUUUUCAGUGCCUACCUUCUUAUAUGGUGUUCAUAAAACGAGAUUAGAGUGAUUUACAAUAGCGAGAGAUGGAACAAGACUGAGAGGAGAUGUGACUCAUUAGACAUCAUCCUGAGCCUGUUGGAAGGAGCCUGCAUCGCUCAAGAAGGGAUGCUGUGAUUUUCCAGUCCCAGGGAUUUAGACUGACUUUGGAGGUAUUUCGGUACCAAAGCACCUGUUUUCCACCUGAAAACAUGACCUACUAUCCCUGCUUUUGCCUUUUGUGAAGCCAAAGAAGCAGUUCUGUGGGAAGGCUCCCUACCCUCCUUCUGACCCUCAAACUCUGUCACAGUGCUCUUGUGAGGCCCCAUCUGGAUUACUGUGUCCAGGCCUGGAGCCCCAGUACAAGAAGGAUGCAGAGCUCUUGGAAUGAGUCCAGAGAAGGGCCACUAAGAUGAUCAGAGGGCUGGAGCACCUCUCCUAGGAAGAAAGGUUGAGGGAACUGGGCUUGUUUAGCUUGGAGAAGAGAAGGCUCUGGGGAGACCUCAUUGCUGCCUUCCAGUACUUGAAGGGAGCGUAUAAACAGGAGGAGGAGAGGCUGUUUACAUGGGUGGAUAGUGAUAGGACAGGGGGGAAUGGAUUUAAAUUGAGGCAGGUGAGACUGAGGUUCGAUAUUAGGAGGAAGUUUUUCACCCAGAGGGUGGUGACGCACUGAACAGGUUGCCCAAGGAGGCUGUGGAUGCCCCAUCCUUGGAGGCAUUCAAGGCCAGGCUGGAUGUGGCUCUGGGCAGCCUGGUCUGCUGGUUGGCGACCCUGCACAUAGCAGGGGGUUGAAACUGGGUGGUCAUUGUGGUCCUUUUCAACCCAGGCCGUUCUAUGAUUCUAAAAAUGUAUCUCACCAAUGUUGUGUCACUGAGCUUUUUAAAAGCGUAAAAGAUGCUUUUUCUUGCAUUCAAAAUGGGGCAAUUGUGCUUGGUUUGUAGUUCAUGGCGCUUCAAGUUGCCAUUAUUUGUUAUGGUUCUGGUGUUCAGCUCUUGUACCUGGAACUAAGAAAGAACUUGCUUCCCUUCCCUGGUGGGCAAAUAAAAAAUACACCCAUCUGCUCUGUUAGCAGGUACAAAUUUGGCUUCACUGGACAAAUGAAAAACAAAAUAGGAUGAACACCCAAGGGUUCCUUUUAAUGAUCAAGAAAACGGACUCCAGAAGAAGCCAUCUCAACUCCCAAAUUCAUUCAUUGUAUUGGGAAUUGAUGGCUCUGGACCCACCCUGCAGGACUCUGCUGGGGCAAGGCGGUGAGAUCUUUGCCAGCAGUACUCAGGACAAAGCCACUGACACAGUUUGGAAGGAGCUGGAAGCCAUCAGCAGCUUAGCAAUGAAUUCCCUAAAAUGCUGUUAUUAUAUUAACAAGUUUUCUUUUAUCCUAUCAAGGUCCUAGGGAAUCUUUCUAUUGACCAUUAAGGCAAAGCAAGACAAAACAUGCUGAAAUUGAGAACUGAAUGGUUAUGGACUGAAAUCCUAUAAUGUUAUGAUUCAAUUUCACUUUGUUUGUAAAGAUGAUUGUUUCUGCAAUCCAGCUGCUCGGCUCACUGAAACACAGGGGAAAAAACUCAGAGGGAGGGAAGGCGGGGGAGAAACACAACAAAAACAAUAAAAUGUAGGGAG
ensembl:lncRNA